UGAAAAUUCAUUGCCAACUGUUCCUUAGGGGUGCAGGACUGUGUGGACCCAAAUCAUCUUACCCUGGUCUGCCAGGGACAAGGCCAUGCAGUCCUGGCUGCUGCUUUUCCUUCACUCACCUUUUGAACCCAUCAAGUUUUCCUCUUUAUCAUCUUGCAGUUUCCAGAUUCUGAAUCACCAGAGUGCUUUCCCAGACUACUCGAUGGCUGCUGAGCUACUGAUGAAGAGGCUGAGCCUAAAUAACUACUAUCCAAUCAGAAAAUAAGUGAAGCCAGGUGAGGAUGAUGAACCGAGUCAGAAAAACAAGAGGAACCCACGCAGAGCAGAGCUGGGCAGCAGGCAGUUCCAUGCCUGUGGGAGCCAGAGGAAUACUAAGUUCAAAAGCCAAAGGCCUUGAGAGAUGCAUCUGCUGUGUACUCCUGGGAAUCUCAACUGCAGUGGGAAUUUCACAUGAUAACCGCUGCCAUAAGAGCAUCGUGGAGCUAGCUGUGAGCUUUACUUACAAUGUGACCUUUCAAGUU